UACGUAGGGCGCAAGCGUUGUCCGGAAUUAUUGGGCGUAAAGAGCUCGUAGGCGGUUUGUCGCGUCUGCUGUGAAAGCCCGGGGCUCAACCCCGGGUGUGCAGUGGGUACGGGCAGGCUGGAGUGUGGUAGGGGAGACUGGAACUCCUGGUGUAGCGGUGAAAUGCGCAGAUAUCAGGAAGAACACCGAUGGCGAAGGCAGGUCUCUGGGCCAUUACUGACACUGAGAAGCGAAAGCAUGGGGAGCGAACAG
rnacentral:rRNA from 1 species